GUUUCCCUGCCGGCCCUCCCCUGCCCCAGAGCGGCCCCCAGGGCCCGCCUUCUGCGCCUGCCUACACGCACUGGUCCUUCCUUCUGUGGCCUCGUUCGUACAACACAGUCAUUCAGAUGCCAGCUGUUUCCCAGAGAUUAAGAACCAGCAUCUAGGACAGUGCUAUCAUUGUACCAAGCAAAUGCUUCGUUGAAAUUACUCUCAGGGAGCCCACAGAGAGCGAGGCCAGGAGUCAAGCCCUGCGGAGCCCACCUGCCCAGCUUUCUGAACCCAUCUGGCCUGAGCUAGAAGGAGGGGAGAAGUUUAAAUAGGAUGAAAGAUAACAGUCUUGAUAGCAGACUGGAAGUUUUUAAUGUCUGAUAAUA